rnacentral:lncRNA from 1 species
GUAAGUUUUUAAGUCGAGUCGCAACUACAAGUUUUCAAAUUAGAAUUGCAACUCCAGAUUUUCUAAAUGAAAUUGCAACUACAAUUUUAUAAAUGAGACUGUAAUUGCAAUUCUUUUAAAAUGGGGUCGCAAUUGUAACCCAACCACAACUAAAGUUGCACAUAGUUUAUUAUUUACUUUUCGCCUAUUAAAAUUUUUGCAUGACGCCCCAUCCACAAUAUCCCACACACAAGUAGACUUGCAGGCAAUUUUCUUUUCCAUUGUGAGGUUAGCAUCCACUGCAUGUAAAGAUAACGCUCACCGAACGAGCCUUCGUUGAAAAGAAAAUGAUUUUCUAGCUCCCUCGUAAACAAAAUGAUUUUCUAACUUGGUAACCUUUUUAAGAAAAACUAGGUGCAACUCGCUUGUAAUAUAUUGUGUAAUAUAUAGUUACAAGAAUAAAAAAGGAAAAUCAUGUGACAAUGCACUAGUAAUUAAUAUGCUCAUCCAAUUUGUAGAUGGUUGUAGGCCUAAUUUUUUUGUUCCAAAUGGAUGAAUACAUAUACACAAAAAAAAUAUAAGAGAGACAUGGACAAGGUGAUACACCACUCAGCCCACUAAUGGCAUGUAUUAACGGCCAAGACAACACACGUAGAAAGAAAACCAGCCUAUGCAUACAUGGUCAAUCAUAGAUGUAAAAUCAUGUAUUGAUACAUGACGAUGUCAUCCUAAUGUCAGCUGAGUGCGACCAAACUAUAUCUUAUUCAACUGAGUUCUAGGCGCUCCCUAUAUGUUAAGGGGAAUCACCUUUAGAGGGCACCGCACAACUGUGUUAAUGUUUGUGAGAGCCAAAUUAGUAUGCCAACUAAAAUCAAGCAACUUGCUCAUAGCUCUAAGUUCUCAAAUCACACAUAAAAAACUGGAUUCCCCCACCCCCUUAUUGCUACAAUAUUGCCAAGCGUUGUCAUGUCAAAUUGGGGGAACCAAACUACUACUAUUAAGGCUUACCUUAUGGUUGUUAAAUUAUGUUGUCUUAUGUUUAUUUUGUAAUAUGGCAUAGAAAAUUCAAGAGAGUAGACACAAGCAGGUCAAACAAACACAAAAAUAGGAAAAUGCAGGUAUAUCAAAUGGGAUUAUCAAAAUCUAGCACAAUAUGAACGCAACCUAAGUGCCUUACUACUACUAAGUGACCUACUAACAAUUUGGCAUCUAUUUUUUAAUUGUUUGGAUUGCUCAUUACAUGUGUCACAUGGUUACAUAUAACAACACGUGAGAUUCAAUUAGGCAAGCAAAAUUUCCACAUAAAUUUCAUGUUAAUCGUACAAUCAUAUGUUAUUCAUGUGCCUAUUCAACAACACACACACAUGUGAC